GUAAAGUUCAGACGCACUGGGAGGUUCAGACGCACCAGCCUUGUGUUCCUGAAGCUUGUCCACGUCUACAAGGUCCCCCAUGAUUUUAAGUGAUCGUUCUCCCAAGUCAGGCUCCCCCUGGCCAGGGUCUCACCUGUCCACAACCGUGUCUGCAAACCUAAUGUCGCAGGAGAAGAGGUGUCUCUAAAGGAGUCCCAAGAGAGAAAGGAGCUCAUUCAGGACCAGCGGGGGUCUUGGCUUAUGUGACAGAAUUUCAGCACGUACCAGUCAAAGGCCCAAACAGAGGUUUAUUGAGGAGGUUCUCCAGUGGCCUGUUGCCCUGCUGCCCCAGCCCAGGUGGAUGUCCUCCCCCAUUUCCUGCCUGUGAGGAGACGCCAUGGCUGUUAAUGCCUGAAAUGGUUUUUCUUCCAACUUUCCAAACAGCAGUGCUCAGCUAUCCUGCCACCUUAACAUUCGAGCACCUUCUCAGCUGUCUUGAGACUGAGGCCCGGGGCUCAUCUGUGGGGUUGGUGAUGUGGGCUUCGGGGUGUGGGAUUCAUUGUGCGGGUGCAGUCCCAGGUCCCACCCAGAGACUGGCAGUGUUGAGCGGCCAGAGCUUUUCCAUUUUACCUGGGCAACAAGGUGCAACUCUUGGGUGCUGACCAGAAGGCAGGUGAAUGAGCCUCUACAACUAAAACCUAUGCCCAGGUUUCGGCUUCAUAUGGGAAAGGGUGGCUCCCCGAGGAGGCUGCUCCCCCAGCCCCAACUGAGGAGCCAGGCCCACUGCAGAAACCUUCCCACCAAGCUAGCUUCAGAAGUGGGGGGGCCACAGGGCAGGUGGAGAACGGUCCCGGAGCUGGCGGCCCACUGCCCGUCUUUUGCGGGGACAUUUGCCCCUUGGGGUGUGGGCUUGGUGCAGGCAGGAGCUGCAGCUCCAGGGAGAGGAGAUCAGCCGUGCUUCCCACAGGCGUGGAGGUCAAAGAGGCAAACUUGGAGACUCCAGGGGCCUCGGGUGCUGAGCGGACCCCCAUCCCCCUCCAAGACCAGGGUGAAAUCUUGACCCUGCAUUUUGGGAAGGUGAAGGCUCCAGUCUGAACGCCUCGGGGCUGCCCAGCUCAAACCUGCCCGGCUUCCAGACCAGCUUCGAAGAGGCCAGUCCCUGAAGCAGGCAAGCCAGAGGAGGAAGACCCGUCUCACCAAACUCUGACCCAGUCCUGCCCCCAGGCCAGCUGGGAUCCAGUCCUGCCCUGUCCACCCAGCUACUUCUGAGGUUUGGGUACAGAAAUGACUCCAUGAGACCGUCUCCUGUGCAAAUCACAGCCACAGUUGCUGACCAAACACAGGAGACACUCGCCAAGGGGCCUGGAGGGGGCCUGAAGCCAGACCCUGACUGUGGGGACAACACUCGGGAGGAAGGAUACCAGGGCAGCUCCCUUGGUGCCAACCCCUGACAACCCAUGGGAUCCCUGACUGGUAGAACCAGAGGGCAGAGUUUGGGGUGACCACAGCAGCCUGGAAGUGAGGGGGAAAUCCAUAAAAAAGAAGGCCACAGGGCCAGGUGCAGUGGCACAUGCCUGUAGUCCCAGCAGCUCAGGAGGCUGAGGCAGGAGGAUCGCAUGUUCAAAGCCAGCUUUAGCAAG